rnacentral:rRNA from 1 species
CACGUAUAGGAGGUCUUGCCUGCCCAGUGACAAGUUAAACGGCCGCGGUAUUUUGACCGUGCGAAGGUAGCGCAAUCACUUGUCUUUUAAAUGAAGACCUGUAUGAAUGGUGGAACGAGGGCUUAGCUGUCUCCCCUUUCAAGUCAAUGAAAUUGAUCUGCCCGUGCAGAAGCGGACAUAUUCCUACAAGACGAGAAGACCCUUUGGAGCUUAAGACACAAAAUCAACUAUGUCAAAAAUCCUUAACUAGAUUAAACCAAAUAGCAACUGAUUCCCGUCUUCGGUUGGGGCGACCACGGGAGAAAAUAAAGCUCCCACGCGGACUGGGAUUCUUCCUAAAACCAAGAGAGACAUCUCUAAGUCACAGAAAUUUCUGACCAUAAAGAUCCGGGCCACAAUCCCGAUCAACGAACCAAGUUACCCUAGGGAUAACAGCGCAAUCCCCUUUCAGAGUCCAUAUCGACAGGGGUUUACGACCUCGAUGUUGGAUCACGACAUCCUAAUGGUGCAGCCGCUAUUAAAGGUUCGUUUGUUCAACGAUUAAGUCCUACG